CUUAGGAGGAAAAACCAGAACAGCAACUGGAGCUGGACACGACCAACUGCCAGCUGGAGAUUCCAGAAACCCCUGAUGUUAAGAUCAGUCAGGAGGAAGAACAAGAAGAUCAGGAGAAAGCUGAUAGCAGCCCCUGUCAGGAGAUACCAGAGGAACCAGGCUCUAACACCUGCGAGCCUGAAACAUACAACAGCUCCGAAGAGCAAGCGGAAGCCCUGGA